rnacentral:rRNA from 1 species
GCCGGUGAUUUGAGCGACUUGGAACCACCCUUUCCCAUUCCGAACAAGGAAGUGAAACGAGUCAGCGCUGACGAUAGUAUGGGGGCAACCCUGUGCGAAAAUAGGUCAUUGCCGGCC